CCUGAAAUAGCUCAGUUGGGAGAGCGUUAGACUGAUGAUCUAAAGGUCCCUGUUCCGAUCCCGGUUUAAUGU
rnacentral:tRNA from 1 species